GACGGAGGUCCCUAGCGUUGUUCGGAAUUACUGGGCUUAAAGCGCGUGUAGGCGGAAGGGCAAGUACCUUGUGAAAUCCCCGGGCUCAACCCGGGAAUGGCUGGGUAUACUGCCUUUCUUGAGGCAGGUAGGGGUCACUGGAACCUUAGGUGGAGCGGUGAAAUGCGUAGAUAUCUAAGGGAACGCCUGUGGCGAAAGCGGGUGACUGGGCCUGUCCUGACGCUGAGACGCGAAAGCGUAGGGAGCAAACGGG
rnacentral:rRNA from 1 species